rnacentral:rRNA from 1 species
UACAGAGGUCCCAAGCGUUGUUCGGAUUCACUGGGCGUAAAGGGUGCGCAGGCGGCCUGGCGCGUCGCGAGUGAAAUCUCCUGGCUCAACUGGGAGGGUGGUCGCGAGACGGCUGGGCUUGAGGCUCGGUGAGGGGCGUGGAAUUCCGGGUGGAGCGGUGAAAUGCGUAGAGAUCCGGAGGAACACCGACGGCGUAGGCAGCGCCCUAGACGAGACCUGACGCUCAGGCACGAAAGCGCGGGGAGCGAACAGG